UCAUUUAGAGNAAGUAAAAGUCGUACAAGGUCUCCGUUGGUGAACCAGCGGAGGGAUCAUUACAGAGUUAUCAAAACUCCCAAACCCAUGUGAACAUACCUCGCGUUGCCUCGGCAGGUGGCGCCCCGCCCUGUGAGGGCCUACCCUGUAGGAGCUCACCCGGUGGUCGCCCCUGCCGACGGCCCACGAAACUCUGUUUUUAUAGCAUUAGACCUCUGAAAAGAUAACUAAAUAAGUUAAAACUUUCANCAACGGAUCUCUUGGUUCUGGCAUCGAUGAAGAACGCAGCGAAAUGCGAUAAGUAAUGUGAAUUGCAGAAUUCAGUGAAUCAUCGAAUCUUUGAACGCACAUUGCGCCCACCAGUAUUCUGGUGGGCAUGCCUGUUCGAGCGUCAUUUCAACCCUUAAGCCCCUGUUGCUUAGCGUUGGGAGCCUACCGGAUACCGUCCGGUAGCUCCCCAAAGUCAGUGGCGGAGCCGGUUCGCACUCCAGACGUAGUAGCUUUUACACGUCGCCUGUAGCGCGGGCCGGUCCCCUGCCGUAAAACCCCCAAAUU
rnacentral:rRNA from 1 species